rnacentral:rRNA from 1 species
ACAAGCGGAGGAGCAUGUGGUUUAAUUCGAUGAUACGCGAGGAACUUACCUGGGCUCGAACGUAAGAUGACUGUAGGUGAAAGCUUACAUCUCUUCGGAGCAUUUUACGAGGUGCUGCAUGGUUGUCGUCAGCUCGUGCCGUGAGGUGUCGGGUUAAGUCCCAUAACGAGCGCAACCCCUACCUUUAGUUGCCAUCAGGUUAAGCUGGGGACUCUAAAGGAACUGCCUACGCAAGUAGUGAGGAAGGUGGGGAUGACGUCAAAUCAGCACGGCCCUUACGUCCAGGGCUACACACGUGCUACAAUGGCCGAUACAGAGGGCAGCUACCUGGUGACAGGAUGCAAAUCUCCAAAGUCGGUCUCAGUUCGGAUCGGAGUCUGCAACCCGACUCCGUGAAGCUGGAAUCGCUAGUAAUCGUGGAUCAGCAUGCCACGGUGAAUACGUUCCCGGGCCUU